AACGUAGGUGGCGAGCGUUAUCCGGAUUUACUGGGCGUAAAGCGUGUGCAGGCGGUUCAACAAGUGGGGUAUGAAAGGUGUCGGCUCAACCGAGAUAGGUUAUGCCAGACUGUUGGACUAGAGUGUGAGAGAGGGACGUGGAAUUCCGGGUGUAGUGGUGAAAUGCGUAGAGAUCCGGAGGAACACCGACGGCGUAGGCAGCGCCCUGGCUGUGAAUAAAGCUGACACUGAGGCACGAAAGCUGGGGGAGCAAACAGG
rnacentral:rRNA from 1 species